GCCCCACUCCUUUCCCAGGUUUGCUCCAACUGAGUGCUAAAGAGUGGUUUUCCCGUGGUGGUGUGGGGAAUGAGCAGUGGGAGAAGAAGAAGUGUAGAGAAGCCCAGAGUCUAAGGUCACAUCUACCCCAAACAACAAACUCUUAUUCCACUUUAUCAGUCAUGACUUCCUGCAAAAAAAUCAUGGAAACUCGUUUGUUACCGGUACCAACCUCACAGAUCUACAGUUCCCACCAGUCUCAACAAACCAUAGUUCCCAGGAUUCUCCAGGUAUCUCCUGCCUCACAGCUGACCAAACUGUCAGAGCAAGCCUUCUCACGGAAGGAACCAUCCAACCCUGUCUGAUGAAAAAGUGGAUGAGUUUGU